rnacentral:rRNA from 1 species
UACGAAGGGGGCUAGCGUUGCUCGGAAUUACUGGGCGUAAAGCGCACGUAGGCGGCUUCUUAAGUCGGUGGUGAAAUCCUGGAGCUCAACUCCAGAACUGCCUUCGAUACUGGGAGCUCGAGUCCGGGAGAGGUGAGUGGAACUGCGAGUGUAGAGGUGAAAUUCGUAGAUAUUCGCAAGAACACCAGUGGCGAAGGCGGCUCACUGGCCCGAUACUGACGCUGAGGCACGAAAGCGUGGGGAGCAAACAGGG